UACAGAGGAUGCAAGCGUUAUCCGGAAUUAUUGGGCGUAAAGAGCUCGUAGGCGGUUUGUCGCGUCUGCCGUGAAAGUCCGGGGCUCAACUCCGGAUCUGCGGUGGGUACGGGCAGACUAGAGUGAUGUAGGGGAGACUGGAAUUCCUGGUGUAGCGGUGAAAUGCGCAGAUAUCAAGAGGAACACCUGAGGUGAAGACGGGUUGCUGGGCCGACACUGACGCUGAUAGCGCGAAAGCCAGGGGAGCAAACGGG
rnacentral:rRNA from 1 species